UCUGAGAGGCUGCUAUUUUCAGGGCAGCCUGCUGGGUCUGGAGGGAGAGAGUGUAAACACCAUCCAGUGUUUGACUUCAAGUGUGUCUUGGCUGGUCGGGGGAACAAAAUGCCCAAGGUGGAGGUUGGGAGAGAAGGAGACUGGAGACCGGUAGUAUUCACCAAGAAUAAGACACUUGAACCUGGCUUUGAAAAACAGAUCAUGGGGCUUGGGUAUAGCUCAAUGGGAGAUCACAAGCUUAGCAUGCUCAAGGCUCUGUGGGUUCCAUCCCCAGCACCCAGCAACACACACACACACACACACACACACACAUGAUUUUCCAAGUAGAAAAAGCAAAGGGAAGAUCAAGAGCAAAGAAUGGACAGGGCUGGGUCUGUAGCUCAGUGGUAGAGCACUUGCCCUAUAUAUCAAGGUCUUGGGUUUGAUCCCCAGCGCUGAGGGUAGAAAGGAAGGAAGGAAGCAAGCAAGCAAGCACAUGUGUUUUAUUGCAGUAGGCCCAGCACACUCCACUACUUUUUCCCCUUGCUUUAAUGUCCUCAUUUGCAAAAUGGGAAUAAAAUACUUCCCAUCUCAUAGGCUCAUGGUGAAGACUGAAAGUUCAGAGAAAGAUGAGAAAUACAAGACCAGCAACCCUGCUAGGGGGCUUCCAGGUACCUCUUAGAUCCUUCAUGCUGGACUGAGAUCUAUAUGGCCUAUUGUUCUAUAGACAUAUGUAAAUAUGUAUAUUAUGGAAAUGACUAGAAAUAUGUAUGUAGCCAUAUAAAUAUGUUUGUGUAUAAAACAUGGAAAUUUGUUCAUAUACAUAUGUGGCUUUAUCUGCCUGACUUGAUGGUCUCACCAUAUUCCUAGAAUGAGAUACAUAUUUAAUAUACAUGUCUAAAUACACAAAUAGAAAAAGAAAUAUUUCUAGUAAAUAAACCAUAUGAAAAUGUAUCUAUUUAUAAAUACCCAC
rnacentral:lncRNA from 1 species